rnacentral:rRNA from 1 species
GACGAACGCUGGCGGCGUGCUUAACACAUGCAAGUCGAACGAAGUGGCGAACGGGUGAGUAACGCGUAAUUAACCUGCCCUUCAGAGGGGGACAACAGUUGGAAACGACUGCUAAUACCGCAUACUGAAGGAGGGGAUUGUGUCUGAUUAGCUAGUUGGAGGGGUAACGGCUCACCAAGGCGAUGAUCAGUAGCGGGUCGGUGAGGAUGAGCGGCCACAUUGGGACGGAGACACGGCCCAGACUCCUACGGGAGGCAGCAGUGGGGAAUCUUGGGCAAUGGACGAAAGUCUGACCGAGCAACGCCGCGUGAGUGAAGAAGGUUUUCGGAUCGUAAAGCUCUGUUGUUAGAGAAGCGGUAUCUAACCAGAAAGCCACGGCUAACUACGUGCCAGCAGCCGCGGUAAUAC